AUUGCAAACUCCGAAUACCAGAAAGUAUGAGCGCGGCAGACACACUGCGGGUGCUAACGUCCGUCGUGGAAAGGGAAACAACCCAGACCGUCAGCUAAGGUCCCAAAGUUAUAGUUAAGUGGGAAACGAUGUGAAAAGGCCCAGACAGCCAGGAGGUUGGCUUAGAAGCAGCCAUUCCUUUAAAGAGUGCGUAGUAGCUCACUGGUCGAGUCGGUUUGCGCGGAAGAUUUAACGGGGCUAAACUAUAUACCGAAGCUGCGGAUCGCAAUUUAUUGCGAUGGUAGGAGAGCGUUCUGUAAGCCGUUGAAGGUGAACUGUGAGGUUUGCUGGAGGUAUCAGAAGUGCGAAUGCUGACAUGAGUAACGAUAAAGGGGGUGAAAAACCCCCUCGCCAGAAGUCCAAGGUUUCCUACGCAACGUUAAUCGGCGUAGGGUUAGUCGGCCCCUAAGGCGAGGCAGAAAUGCGUAGUCGAUGGGAAACGGGUUAAUAUUCCCGUACUUCAUAUAACUGCGAUGGGAAGACGGAGUAGGUUAGCUCAGCAAGGCGAUGGUUGUCCUUGUUCAAGCGUGUAGAAAUGGUUCUUAGGAAAAUCCGGGAACCUCUAUUUCAAGGCGUGAUAACGAGCCCUCUUUUGGGCGAAGUGAGUGAGACCAUGCUUCCAGGAAAAUCCUCUAAGCUUCAGGUUAUAUGAAACCGUACCCCAAACCGACACAGGUGGACGAGAUGAGAAUUCUAAGGCGCUUGAGAGAACUCGGGUGAAGGAACUAGGCAAAAUGACACCGUAACUUCGGGAGAAGGUGUGCUCUUGUUAUGUGAUAUCACUUGCUGAUUGAGCAAAGAAGAGCUGAAAAAACUAGGUGGCUGCGACUGUUUAUUAAAAACACAGCACUCUGCAAACACGUAAGUGGACGUAUAGGGUGUGACUCCUGCCCGGUGCUUGAAGGUUAAUUGAUGAGGUUAGCGCUUGCGCGAAGCUUUUGAUCGAAGCCCAAGUAAACGGCGGCCGUAACUAUAACGGUCCUAAGGUAGCGAAAUUCCUUGUCGGGUAAGUUCCGACCUGCACGAAUGGCGUAACGACGGCCACACUGUCUCCACCCGAGACUCAGUGAAAUUG
rnacentral:rRNA from 1 species